GACGAACGCUGGCGGCGUGCUUAACACAUGCAAGUCGAGCGGUAAGGCCCUUUCGGGGGUACACGAGCGGCGAACGGGUGAGUAACACGUGGGUGACCUGCCCUCAGCUCUGGGAUAAGCCUGGGAAACCGGGUCUAAUACCGGAUAUGACUCCAUGACGCAUGUUGUGGGGUGGAAAGCCUUGUGCGGCUGAGGAUGGGCCCGCGGCCUAUCAGCUUGUUGGUGGGGUGAUGGCCUACCAAGGCGACGACGGGUAGCCGGCCGUGAGAGGCGACCGGCCACACUGGGACUGAGACACGGCCCAGACUCCGUACGGGAGGC
rnacentral:rRNA from 1 species